rnacentral:rRNA from 1 species
AUUGAACGCUGGCGGCAUGCUUUACACAUGCAAGUCGAACGGUAACAGGUCUUCGGAUGCUGACGAGUGGCGAACGGGUGAGUAAUGUAUCGGAACGUGCCCAGUAGUGGGGGAUAACUACUCGAAAGAGUGGCUAAUACCGCAUGAGAACUGAGGUUGAAAGCGGGGGACCUUCGGGCCUCGCGCUACUGGAGCGGCCGAUAUCAGAUUAGGUAGUUGGUGGGGUAAAGGCCUACCAAGCCGACGAUCUGUAGCUGGUCUGAGAGGACGACCAGCCACACUGGGACUGAGACACGGCCCAGACUCCUACGGGAGGCAGCAGUGGGGAAUUUUGGACAAUGGACGCAAGUCUGAUCCAGCAAUGCCGCGUGCAGGACGAAGGCCUUCGGGUUGUAAGUACUCUUUCGGUCAGGAACGAAACGGUAGGU